rnacentral:rRNA from 1 species
AUUGAACGCUGGCGGCAUGCCUUACACAUGCAAGUCGAACGGCAGCACGGGAGCAAUCCUGGUGGCGAGUGGCGAACGGGUGAGUAAUAUAUCGGAACGUGCCCGGUCGUGGGGAUAACGUAGCGAAAGCUACGCUAAUACCGCAUACGAUCUAUGGAUGAAAGCGGGGGAUCGCAAGACCUCGCGCGAUUGGAGCGGCCGAUAUCAGAUUAGGUAGUUGGCGAGGUAAAGGCUCACCAAGCCGACGAUCUGUAGCUGGUCUGAGAGGACGACCAGCCACACUGGGACUGAGACACGGCCCAGACUCCUACGGGAGGCAGCAGUGGGGAAUUUUGGACAAUGGGCGCAAGCCUGAUCCAGCAAUGCCGCGUGCAGGAUGAAGGCCUUCGGGUUGUAAACUGCUUUUGUACGGAACGAAACGGUGAGCUCUAAUACAGUUUGCUAAUGACGGUACCGUAAGAAUAAGCACCGGCUAACUACGUG